UACGAAGGGGGCUAGCGUUGCUCGGAAUCACUGGGCGUAAAGCGCACGUAGGCGGCUUUUUAAGUCAGGGGUGAAAUCCUGGAGCUCAACUCCAGAACUGCCUUUGAUACUGGGAAGCCUGAGUCCGGGAGAGGUGAGUGGAACUCCGAGUGUAGAGGUGAAAUUCGUAGAUAUUCGGAAGAACACCAGUGGCGAAGGCGGCUCACUGGCCCGGUACUGACGCUGAUGCGCGAAAGCCAGGGGAGCGAACGGG
rnacentral:rRNA from 1 species